ensembl:misc_RNA Metazoa_SRP Metazoan signal recognition particle RNA
GCUGGGCAUGGUGGCAUGUGCCUGUAGUCCCAACUACCUGGGAGGCUGAGGUGGGAGGAUCGCCUGAGCCCGGGAAGUCGAGGCUGCAGUGAGCUGUGAUUGUGCCACUGCACUCCAGCCUGGGCAACAGAGUAAGAUCCUGCCUCAA